CAGAUCAGACCUUAAUGCUGCGACGUCUUGAAGAGUUUGGCGAUGUUGUGCGUAGCAUGGACAACAAAAUGGACACUAUGCUGCAACAUUUCAGUGCCAAUGUGUCUGUUGGAGAGUUAUCCCUGCCAGGGGAUCUGUUACUCCCCCCUAGACACCCAGGAAGAUUUGGCGUUGCUUGACAACAGUUUGAGGCAGGAUAAAGAGCUCCAGGAACGAUUUCUUCGGUUUUUGGCAAGCAAAUGUGGGAGGGACCUAAAGACAACCGUCUGGCGGAUGCUUCAAAGUAUCUUCUCUAAUCACCUUUCCAUCAAUACAACCUGGACUGGAGUUGGGGAUAAAGCAUGAUUUAGAGACAUGUUCCUUAAGACCAUUGUUCAAAGAGCCAUCCGGAAGAACCCGGCAACCCAGGAUGCCACUGAUGAAGCCGUCCAGGUUAACGUUACGUGUUACCUGAAAGGAGCAUCUGACCGUGAAGGCGGAAAAAGGCGCCACACAGCUGAGAGGGACCCACAGCCGACCCCUUAAACCUAGGCUGACUACUGACACCCCAGCAUCACUGACAACUGGAACCCUUUCUUUAUCCUGCAGUCAGUAACAUCAAGACCCCUAAAGAAGCCAGAAGUGUCAGACUGCACUCACCCAAUCCACACUGUUCACUGUAUAUAUUAUCAUAGUGCUUAACUCUUAUUAUAUUGUUAAAUAUAGCUUGUAAAUCCUUGUGCCACAGGUCAGCAUUGCAGUUAUAUCUGUUCUACUACUGAUUUUACCUCAGUAUUUUAUAU